CUUCAAACAAAAUGGCGGCCUUUUGUAGCGAUUGCCUGCAGCUGGCCAGUAUCCUGCCUGGCCUGGCGUCCAUCCCUGGCAUUAUCCGGUCGGCAGUGGCAGGAACGGACUCCCCUGGAAAGAAGACUCUUUAGUCUAAAGUUCAUCGAUGUCUGGAAACGUGAACUGGCAGAAGUAGGGAAGCAGAUUACACAGCAGGAGAUGAAGCUCAUCAUGCAUCACUGCUGUCUGUCAGUAUAGAGUGGUCAAACACCAGCUUCAGUUGUUUACCAUGUCCUUGGUCUGAUUGAAGACUACUGGUCAUAUACUAGUAGACAAAUAUGAAAUUGUCAGGUAGAUUGGUUAGAAAUAGGUGUCCUAAUGAAUUGUAGAAUAGGGCUGUGUUGUUUUAUUUUGUUCUCUUUGAUGCCAAGUCAUCUGAGUUGCACAUAUUUAGGACAAGGUCUCUAUAAAACUCCUGCUUGCUUGCUAACCACCAUGAUUAGCAAGGGAAAGUACUGAGCCAGCGGUCACUACGAAGGAUGAUACUCAGGCUAAUGAAACUGUAUAAAGCAUAUACUAAGUGAAUGUACAAUGAAUCUUGUAUUUAGCACAAUAAUUUGUAUCCUGCUGAUACUAAGUGUAAUGUGAGUUUGCUUUUCCAAUUGGAGUACUGUAUAUACCUGUAUUUGUGAUAGUUUGAUAUGCCAUUUAGAAAAAAAACUAAACUACACCUGUUAACUCUAUUGUUUCGAAUGCCUUUUGUGUGCAGUGUGUCAUAUUCAUUGGUUCAUAUUUCGAUGCCUGAGAAAUGUGCAUCCUUGAAUCCAUACAUCUGCAAUCACUGUAUAUAUGUAAACGCUUGUGACUGUAUCUGAAAGCAGCAAGAUCUACAUCUGUGUAUAUAGCUACAUGUACAGUGCAUAUACUGCCCAAUAUUGUCCCAAGGAAGGUGACAGAUGGUUACUGAAGCAUUGGUGUGGAAUAAAGAAAGAGUUGUGAGAAAAA